rnacentral:lncRNA from 1 species
UUUGGUUAGUUAAGGAACAAAUACGGUCACGAUCCCAAUUCCAUCUCUAUCUCAGUCUAAGAGGAUCUAUAUCUUCUCUUUGUUCAGCUCUAGCCCACAUUUCUUCAUGAACUUGACACAUAAGUCUAGCAGCACUUAUAUCCUCUUGAUUAGCUGGGACUUUGAGUUAGCAUCUAAAGUUAAUAUUAAAUCGUCUGCAUAUAAAUCUGAGAUAUUGGAGGUCGAUAAUUGGUAAUGGUGACUAUAAACAAGAGAAGAACAGACAGGCAGGCUUAUCUACAGCUCUUAAGAUUGGAUUACUUUUCAUCCUAUCAAUGUGACCGUACUGGAUUAAAAACUUAAUAGGCACAUGAAAAACAUAUCAAGUUAUUCUUUACUUUAAACGCUUUUUCAAGAAAGGCUGCAUUUGUUCUGCCAAAAUACAAAUUAAAAUUAAAUAUGUUUAA